UACGUAGGGUGCAAGCGUUAAUCGGAAUUACUGGGCGUAAAGCGUGCGCAGGCGGUUUUGUAAGUCUGUCGUGAAAUCCCCGGGCUCAACCUGGGAAUUGCGAUGGAGACUGCAAGGCUAGAAUCUGGCAGAGGGGGGUAGAAUUCCACGUGUAGCAGUGAAAUGCGUAGAGAUGUGGAGGAACACCGUUGGCGAAGGCAGCCCCCUGGGUCAAGAUUGACGCUCAUGCACGAAAGCGUGGGGAGCAAACAGG
rnacentral:rRNA from 1 species